GACGAACCGUGCGAACGUUGUUCGGAAUCACUGGGCUUAAAGGGCGCGUAGGCGGGCUGUCAAGUCCGCGGUGAAAUACUCCAGCUCAACUGGAGAACUGCCGCGGAUACUGGCGGUCUCGAGGGAGGUAGGGGCGUGCGGAACACUAGGUGGAGCGGUGAAAUGCGUUGAUAUCUAGUGGAACUCCGGUGGCGAAGGCGGCACGCUGGACCUCUUCUGACGCUGAGGCGCGAAAGCCAGGGGAGCGAACGGG
rnacentral:rRNA from 1 species